rnacentral:tRNA from 1 species
GCGUCCGUAGUGUAGCGGUAACACGGUAGCUUCCCAAGCUCCAGUUGUGGGUUCGACUCCCAUCGGACGCU